UCAGCAAGAAGGGUGGGGGUUUUUAUGCCACCUGUCCAGCUCUUUGUUUUUAUUGUUUUCGUUUGAUUUUUUUUUUAGUUUCAGUGAUUUAAUUGCAAUAGGCUUACGACUUGUCACUGUCUCUUUCCGACGAAAAUACGGUUCUUUCUUCGCCAACCAAUCUUGGCCCACCAAAAGUCCAUAUGAAUUCCAUCCUCUUCUUCGGCUAGGAAACGUCUUCGUAACGCCUCUCCUCUGCAUUCAAUCUAUACAGAGUAAGAGAUAUAAACACAGAGAGAGAGAGUGGAGUUUACUGAGAUAGAGAUGGGAGGUGAGACUUCUUCAAUUGCGGUGAAGGUGGCGCUCUUCGGCCGUAUCAGUUAACUUACAAGGCAAUCAGAGACAACGCAUACAGUGGUCCGAUGUUAGAGCUCUUGAUCGAGCUAACUAUUCAGAGACUUCUGGUAAUUAUUAUUACAGAUUUAAUUGCGCUGUCACAAAGGUCGUUUGUUCUUGCUUACUUUUACUUUGUAUGUUUUAAUAUGAAUGAGUCUCUUACUCUGUAUAAAGACAGACUUUUAGGUCACUAUAUGUGCAGUCACAACAGCCGAUAAGGCACAAUACAUGACUGGUCGGAGACCCGUGGAGUACGGUGAAGACAGCUUUGUGAUACUAAGCAUAAUGUUCGAGUUUUGUUGGAACAAGGGAAUGUGUUGAGUGUUUUGAUCCUACAGUGGAGGAAGAAUAGUCUGAGGAUGGGCUUUUUUCUUUUCUGAAACUUGCUCUUGUCUGUACUUCUCAGAUUCCUUCAAAUCGGCCUACAAUUGCAGAGAUUGUUCAGAUCUUGGAGGUCAUCAGUUCUCCUGUUCCUCAGCGGAUGCUCGAUAGUUUCUGAAAAAACUGUAUUAAAUUGAUUUUCCAUUAUGCAAUAUUUUCUUUCUUUUUUUUUACAAUUCUUUUUGUAUAGAUUGCUUUCUUUCACAAUGGUACGUCGUAUCUUUCUCGCUAUGUCAUCAUGAAUCAUCUUGACCAUCA